rnacentral:rRNA from 1 species
UACGGGGGGGGCAAGCGUUGUUCGGAAUUACUGGGCGUAAAGGGCUCGUAGGUGGCCAACUAAGUCAGACGUGAAAUCCCUCGGCUUAACCGGGGAACUGCGUCUGAUACUGGAUGGCUUGAGUUUGGGAGAGGGAUGCGGAAUUCCAGGUGUAGCGGUGAAAUGCGUAGAUAUCAAGAGGAACACCUGCGGCGAAGGCGGGUUGCUGGGCUGACACUGACGCUGAGGCGCGAAAGCUAGGGGAGCGAACGGG